GCCGUGUACUGUGCGCCGUCUCCACCGGAUUUGGGUUUUGGAAGGGACUUAAGUCACAGAAUGGAAUAGGAAGACAGGGUUUAAACACGUCCUGUAUCUGAAUGCCAGUUUUCCAUUCCCUUAAACACAAGAUCUGGGAAAACGUAUCCGAAGCCAGAAAAGUCCUGACCCGAGUUAAAAAAAUGCUGGCAGUACCUGGGACAGAGCCACGCUGGGCCCAGUGGUCCUGCCACUGAACCCGAAGGAGGCUGCUCUUGGGAGUUUUUUUGUUUCUUACAUCUUGGAAUCCUGGUCAUAAAGGAGCGGGGACUUGGCAGGGACACCACUGCCCACGCCGGUGCCUGGUGAGCGCCCAUCCCGCCAGGCCCUUCCUCCCCAUAAAGCCAUCGUUGACCUUCUGACUUUCUAAUCGCAAUGCUCACCAGCCACACGUGGAGCCAGCCCUGUGCAGCCCCCGCCCCUCAGCUCCCAGGGCCUGGAGGGCCCUUGGAAGGGCUGAGCCCGGGACCUCCUGCGGGGGCUGCCACAUGUCCCCAAGCAAGCCAUGAGACUGUCCAAGACCAACGUGACGGGGAGUUGUUCCGGGCACGGGAUGUGACAAGCACGGGCCCCGCUUCAGCCAGUGAAGGACAUGAGGGUGUCUCAGACCACCAGAAACCACGGCACGAAGGUCGGAAGGGCUUGCACACUUUGCUGUUAGCAGCAGCCUGGGACGGGAACAAGAAAGGCGGCUCUGGAAAACCAACUAUGAAACCAGAGAAGACGCCCCUCGCUGGGCUGGCUCCCACCACUGGAUUUUGGACCAGGCGGUGUGGUCACAGAUCAAGGACAUCCCCAAGGCGACCCGAGGCGGUAUAGCGUGUGCUAGGGGACUCCCAGGCAGGACUUCUCCUAGGACCACCUGGGACCACCGUCCCAGGGGCUGAUCACGGCCCCACAGGGUCCCUGUCAAUUAUAGGUGAACAGGUCCCAGUCGAUGCUGCGAAAGAAUGCAUGAGACUUGAUAUCGGAAAAUCCAGUCUGUGGCCGGCAGCCGAGCCUCUCUUUGGGGUCCUAGGGGUCAGAGAUCAAAUAAGGACAUGUCAGCAUGGAGCAAAGAAGCCCCAAGUCACGGCAAGAGAAAACCAGCUUUCCUUCCCUCCAGGAUAGAAAGAGCUUCCUCGGAUCAUCUCCAGCCAGUCUUAACCAGCCCGGUGAUGAGCAGACAUUCCCUUCACUAAAAAUUCUACCCCUAACACCGGAGGCUUCGUUAAAUUUCUCUUUGGCAUGA